rfam:Parcubacteria (Azambacteria) bacterium GW2011_GWA2_39_10 TT16_C0021, whole genome shotgun sequence.
GGGGGCUUAGUUUAGUGGUAAAACAGCGGUCUCCAAAACCGCUGACGGGGGUUCGAUUCCCUCAGCCCCUG